rnacentral:rRNA from 1 species
GGGAGAAGGGGUGCCUACGAAAGUAGGCCGCAGAGAAUAGGCCCAAGCAACUGUUUAGCAAAAACACAGGUCUCUGCUAAAGCGAAAGCUGAUGUAUAGGGGCUGACGCCUGCCCGGUGCUGGAAGGGUAAGGGGAACACUUAGCGUAAGCGAAGGUGUGAACUUAAGCCCCAGUAAACGGCGGCCGUAACUAUAACGGUCCUAAGGUAGCGAAAUUCCUUGUCGGGUAAGUUCCGACCCGCACG